GCCCUGGUAGCUCAGUGGUAAGAGCUUGGCUGCUAACCAAAAGGUCUGCAGUUUGAAUCUACCAGUGGCU
rnacentral:tRNA from 1 species